UACGUAGGGGGCAAGCGUUGUCCGGAAUCAUUGGGCGUAAAGCGCGUGUAGGCGGUUCAGUAAGUCUGCUGUGAAAGUCCAGGGCUCAACCCUGGGAUGCCGGUGGAUACUGCUGGGCUAGAGUACGGAAGAGGCGAGUGGAAUUCCCGGUGUAGCGGUGAAAUGCGCAGAUAUCGGGAGGAACACCAAUUGCGAAGGCAGCUCGCUGGGACGUCACUGACGCUGAGGCACGAAGGCCAGGGGAGCAAACGGG
rnacentral:rRNA from 1 species